rnacentral:rRNA from 1 species
UCGGUGCUAACUACGGAUAAAUAAAAAGAACUGCAUGGUUUCUUUUUGAAAGAUGGGUUUCGGCUAUCACUUACAGAUGGGCCCGCGGCGCAUUAGCUAGUUGGUGAGGUAACGGCUCACCAAGGCAACGAUGCGUAGCCGACCUGAGAGGGUGAUCGGCCACACUGGGACUGAGACACGGCCCAGACUCCUACGGGAGGCAGCAGUAGGGAAUCUUCCGCAAUGGACGAAAGUCUGACGGAGCAACGCCGCGUGAGUGAUGAAGGUUUUCGGAUCGUAAAACUCUGUUGUUAGGGAAGAACAAGUGCCGUUCGAAAGGGCGGCACCUUGACGGUACCUAACGAGAAAGCCACGGCUAACUACGUG